ACUGGUGCUCUUCCGAUUUGAUGGAUACUAGGUGCUGUGCGACUCGACCCGUGCAGUGCUAUAGCUAACGCGUUAAGUAUCCCGCCUGGGGAGUACGUUCGCAAGAAUGAAACUCAAAGGAAUUGACGGGGGCCCGCACAAGCGGUGGAGCAUGUGGUUUAAUUCAAUGCAAAGCGAAGAACCUUACCAGGGUUUGACAUGCCGCAAAUCCUCUU